CCCUUAGAUGUUCGGGGCCGCACGCGCGCUACACUGAAGGAAUCAGCACGUCUUUCUCCUUGUCCGAAAGGACUGGGUAACCCGCUGAACCUCCUUCGUGCUAGGGAUUGGGGCUUGUAAUUCUUCCCCAUGAACGAGGAAUUCCCAGUAAGCGCGAGUCAUAAGCUCGCGUUGAUUACGUCCCUGCCCUUUGUACACACCGCCCGUCGCACCUACCGAUUGGAUGGUCCGGUGAAGCCUCGGGAUUGUGGUUCUUGCCGCUUUAUUGUGGCGUGACCGCGAGAACUUGUCUAAACCUUAUCAUCUAGAGGAAGGUGAAGUCGUAACA
rnacentral:rRNA from 1 species